CUACGACACAGUGUACUUCCAUUGUGAGCUGCUGGCCUGUCACCAUAACUAUCCUGAUUCCAGGUGCAGUAAAGGCUGUAUAAAGAACAAGAGAAAGAGGAGAGAAGUGACACGAGAUGGAGGAAACCAAGAAGAGAGUACAAACAAAAUCAUUCUUACAGGUGGACCUGUAGUGUUCGAGGCGGCAAAAAAAGGCGAACCACUCGAUCACAAGUUAAGUCAAAGUAAACAUACAGCUC